GUCCUCCCAGGGCCACAGAGGUCCCUUCCCAGAACUCACCUCCACCUGCCCGGACCGUCACCAGCAGAAGCAGGAGUGAAAGAAUGAAGCUAGCGUCUCCCGCUGGGGCCACUUAUAGCCUGAGGGAAUCAGGGUCCGGCCUACUUCACAAGCCUCAGGCUUGGAUUGCCAAACCCUUUGCCUGGGUGGAAACAGCUUCCUACUGUUACCAGGAGUUCCUUGCCUGGUAGUGAGCUCUGCUGAGCCGAGGCCAGAGUCUUGACUUCACCACAGAAAAGAAUUGCAGGAUGAGCGAGCCAGCCUGGAGCAGAGUUCGAGUUAAUUAAAAGAGAGGCACCUGGGAGGGAAGUCAGAGCUCAGGAUAUGGGCGCGAUGCUCUGAAAAUAAAGCCACUUAGUAGGUGCUGCCACUUACACACUUCAACAGGUGCCUAAGGACUUUUUUUUUUUUUUUUUUUGGUAAAUGAAUUCAUGAUGUGGUUCUUGGGUUCACUGGAUGGAAUCCAAGCUGGUUAGUAAAAGCCUAAAUCAAAAGAUAGGCAGGGUAAGUGCUUUAUUUUAUUUUUUUCAUCUUGCUUGCAAGAGUCCCAGAAAUACCAGGAAAGGAAUCAGGACAUACUGGAAGAGCAUAUGAGCCCGGGCUUUCAACAUGACUAGUUACCAUUCUAACGUUUUAAUUUGAAAAGAUCUCUCAACAAAAGAAACAAAAGAAAUUCUGUCAGCAACCUUCACAGCAAGCAGUGGUUGUGAUGGGAUUCCUGACUCUCAGCUGGUGAGAGGUGCCAAAAACAUUCAGGAGACUAUUCCCCCCCCCUCUGUCUCUGUGUGCUGCCUGCUCCGGAGCUGCCCCUGCUCAGGGCUGAACCCACAGUCUUACAUAUAGCAAUGUCUUCCCCGCAGACAGAUCCCCAGGCAGUCCUGAGCCCUGAUUGCCUCACGCUUGAGGGUGGGGGCCAUGCGUUUCCUGCCAUUCCCUAUCACAGCCUCCAGAUGGCCCUCCUGGAUAGAGAUCAGGCAGAACCCUCUGUGCUUGGAGUCUAAGGGGUUCAGUGUGCAGCUGUUUCCCGUUCUUGGCCCUAAGUAGAGGCAGGCCCUGGGCUCACAGUACAGGCCUUCCUUCCUUUCUUCCCCAGAGGCCAAGGACUGGGACUUGUGGUUGGCAGGUACGGAUCCUCCCUUUGUAGAGACUGUGUGAAGAGAGAGUGUGUGUGUGUGUGUGGGGGUGUGCUUUGAGGGGCUGAGGAGGGUGGGAGUCUAGCCUACUUUUCUCAACUAAUGGGGAAAUGACUCAGUAGGUGGGCACACAGUAGUUCUCAGGUGUUCUUCCAAGUCCUCAAUUCAGGUUAAGAUUUCCCAGAAUGCAGAGGUCACUAAGCCAUGUAUUCUUUAAGUUUCUCCCACUUCCUGUGUGGUGGCUGACACAGGACACACUUGUCAUCCUUUGGAGGAUGGCAGCAGUGACCACAGAAGUGAACUGAAUGGUUCCACAUCUCAGCUGUCGUGAGUAUUGCAUCAAUAAACAUGGAUGUGCAAACAUCUCUGUGGCAGGACUUUGAUAAUUUGGAUGCCUGCCCAUGAGGUACCUGGUUGUAUUUUUCGUUUCUUGAGAAACCUCCAUAUUGCUUUCCAUAGCGGCUGCGUGUGUGUGUGUGUGUGUGUGUGUGUGUGUGUGUGUCUGUGUGUGUGUCUGUGUUUGUGUGUGUGUUGUAGUUCUGUAUACACUCAGACUUCAGCCCCUUGUCUGUAUUGUGUUUGGCAAGAUCCCCCUGUUCUGUGGUUUUCUCUACAUUCUGCUGGCUUCCUUUGCUGUGCAGAAGCAUAUUAAUUUCAAGCAACCUCAUUGUGUCAUUCCUACAUAGGGAAUAUACCUUAGGAAAUACUUAUUUCCUGUGGCACAUGAAAACUUUCAUAAACACCUUGUAUCUGCCUGUAUCUUGUUCUAAGUCCCCCCAGCAGUUUCAAAGUAUCAGGUGUUAUCGUAAGGUCUUUGGUCCAUUUCUAAUUGAUUUCCAUGCAGUGUGAGAGAUUCUGUCCUUUGUCUUAAUGUGUAGAGUCUCUUUAUCAGCCCCUAUGUGGCAUAUAACAUGGGCAAGCAUACCUUCUGUUUAGGUAGAAGCCCUGAUGGUGCCCUAUACCCAAGGAGUCUGGGGUGACUAGUGGAAGCCCCACAUCUCUGUCUCCCCAGACCACAUCCCCUUCCUCCCUCAGAAAGCCCUCCAAGGAGCAGCCCCCCCCUCAGAGAGCCCUGCAAGUGUCAGCCCCUCCCUGGCUGCUGGAGACCAUGCUUACAGGCUACUUAAGAGGGAGCAAGGUACCUGCUACAUGCUCUCAAGUUCUCUCCCCUGCCUUCCCGAGAGAGAGCUCACAUUAGCCCUGGAUUUAUAAAUUUGGCUUGAUUGCCUUAUUACAUCGGUGGUGGAGGAUUCCCAAUAACUGGGGGAUCCAAAACUUGUCACCUCCUUAAGAAUAAGUUCUAAAAACUGUUAAUAUAUAAAAGAAUAUUACUUUAUUUAUUUUUAAGUGACAGAUGUAACCCUUUAUACUGUUAUUAAAGUUUUCCCCCCCAGUCUUGUGUGUAUGGGGGGAGGCAGCCCUAUGUGAAAUGUGACAAUUUCCCACUGUAACUGUUUUUGAAGCAUACAGUAAUAAAUAAAAUACUGUGUGGUACUUAUUUCUGCAAUAAAACAGCUCGUCCUGUUGAUAUACCAUGUAGUAGUUACAUUUCUAGCAACUAAGGGUGGUGGGGUUGAUUUUGCCUCCCCCGUCAAGGGUACAGUCCGCCAGGCUGGGUGUCACGGGGCAAGUACGGACAAACUUUCUCAUCCGUACCGCCAGCUCAUGAAUAACGGCACCUAUUGCUAAUUAUGAAAGCUGGGUCUAUAGCUCAGGCUUGUCCCUAACUAGUUCUUGUAACUUAAAUAUUUUUAAUCUACAUUCUUGGACGUGGCUCGGUUACCUUUAACUCUGUGCAGCCCAUCCUGCUUCCCCCGAGUCUGGCUGCCGUCUCCACCUUUCUUCCUGUCUGUCCCCAGGCCAUUAGCUCUUUAUUAAAUCAAUCACAACGACACAGCCAAGAACCAGGGUGGCUGCGGACAUCACACCCAUCGCUGGGAACUGGAGACAGAGAAAUGCCAGUGCUUGGCUUUGAUUUUGCUUUUUAUCAGUCUGGGAUCCCAGCCCAGGAGAGGUGCUUCAGGCAUUUAGGGUGAAUCACCUCACUUGAUCUACUCCUGCACAGACAUGCCUAGAGAGGCAUCUUCUAGAUGACUCUUCGAUUGGGAAGAUGACCCAUCACAAACUAAGAACCUUCUUAAUUUUUUACCUCUUUACUUUCAUCUUAAGAGUGUCUUGAAGACCAUGUUUUGUUAAAUUAGUGUUUUAAAGGCUCAACCUAAGAAUUUAAGUUAUUAUAAAUCGAUGGAUGUCAUAAUUCAUAUUUAUUGUGAUCACUAAAAUGUUUGUCCCUGUCACAUCAUCAUCUCCUUAUUGUGCACUUGGGGGUUUAUUUCUCUAUCUCUGGGCUCUGUUUCUAUGCUGAAUUUGUUUUGCUUGAAAUGUUACCCAUUCUAUUUUGUUCUCAUGAUGGUUGUGACUGACCUAUGACCCAGACAAACGUUGGUUCACAUUAUUAUUUUUGCUUUACAUUCGAUUUUAAAAAGUACAUUGUAACAUGUAGUCUUUCUGCCAGCUGUCUGGGUCCCAAGCUGUCUCAGCCCCCAAAUAACACACGAAACGCCAUAUUAAUUAGGAAGCUGUUGGCUGUUUGUUUGGUUUCUUAUUGGCUAUCUCUGAUUUAAUUAUUAAUCCAUAAUUGCUAACUUGAAUAUUUCCACGUGGUCUUCUUUUACCGGUGAAAAGGGUCUGGACCUCUUCUCCCGUGUCCUAUAUCCUGACUGACUGUAUCUCUGUUUCCCAGAAUCCUCCUCAACUCCUAGUCCCACCUAUCUUGUUUCCUUAUUGGCCAAUGGCGCUUUAUUUAAUCAACCAAUAAGACAACAUAUACACAGUACUUCCCCCAUAGUACAUAGCUCAUUUUCAUAUCCUUUUUGUGUGCUGUCUCCAGACCCACUUUCCUGUUGAAUUAUAUAAUUUGGUUAACUGUCAUCUUAUUUUCUGUUAUUUUAGUGUGAUCCUCCUCUCUCCCAUUUUGGUGCACAAUUGAAACUCUGAAUAAAUUAAUUGGUUAUUCAUGUU